rnacentral:rRNA from 1 species
CGCCUCUUGACAACCAUAAGAGGUCCAGCCUGCCCAGUGACUUUGUUCAACGGCCGCGGUAUCCUAACCGUGCGAAGGUAGCGUAAUCACUUGUCCUCUAAAUAAGGACCAGUAUGAACGGCAUCACGAGGGUUAUACUGUCUCCUUUUUCCAAUCAGUGAACCUAAUCUCCCCGUGAAGAAGCGGGGAUAAAACUAUAAGACGAGAAGACCCUAUGAAGCUUAAAACUAAGUAACAAUCGCUUGUAAAUUAUUUCAUUUCAGAAUAUCCACACAUAUCCUAGCUACAUGUUUACUAGUUUUAGGUUGGGGUGACCACGGAGAAAAAAAUAACCUCCACAUUGAACGGAACUUAGUUUCCUGAGCCAUGAGCUACAGCUCUAAGCACCCUAAAAUCGACAUUAAUUGACCCAAUAUUUUGAUCAACGAACCAAGUUACUCUAGGGAUAACAGCGCAAUCCGCUUAAAGAGCCCCUAUCGACAAGCGGGUUUACGACCUCGAUGUUGGAUCAGGGUAUCCUAGUGGUGCAGCCGCUACUAAAGGUUCGUUUGUUCAACGAUUAAAACCCU